CUUACGGGGGGCUGCAGUGGGGAAUAUUGGACAAUGGGGGGAACCCUGAUCCAGCCAUGCCGCGUGUGUGAAGAAGGCCCUCGGGUUGUAAAGCACUUUCAGUGAGGAAGAACGCCUGGUGGUUAAUACCCAUCAGGAAAGACAUCACUCACAGAAGAAGCACCGGCUAACUCCGUGCCAGCAGCCGCGGUAAUACGGAGGGUGCGAGCGUUAAUCGGAAUUACUGGGCGUAAAGCGCGCGUAGGUGGCUUGAUAAGCCGGUUGUGAAAGCCCCGGGCUCAACCUGGGAACGGCAUCCGGAACUGUCAAGCUAGAGUGCAGGAGAGGAAGGUAGAAUUCCCGGUGUAGCGGUGAAAUGCGUAGAGAUCGGGAGGAAUACCAGUGGCGAAGGCGGCCUUCUGGACUGACACUGACACUGAGGUGCGAAAGCGUGGGUAGCAAACAGGAUUAGAUACCCUAGUAGUC
rnacentral:rRNA from 1 species